UACGUAGGGUGCAAGCGUUGUCCGGAAUUAUUGGGCGUAAAGGGCUCGUAGGCGGUCCAUCGCGUCGGGAGUGAAAAGCUGGGGCUCAACCCCAGUCCUGCUUCCGAUACGGGUGGACUAGAGGUAUGCAGGGGAGAACGGAAUUCCUGGUGUAGCGGUGAAAUGCGCAGAUAUCAGGAGGAACACCGGUGGUGUAGACGGCUCUCUGGACCGUAACUGACGCUGAGGCACGAAAGCGUGGGUAGCAAACAGG
rnacentral:rRNA from 1 species